UGGCUCUCUCCUUGCCUGGAACUGGAUAUGAGAAAUGCUUGAAUUAAGAUCUGUGAAUUAUCUUAUUUUCUUGUCAGAAGGAUGCAGAUUGCCCAUACUUCAUAGCAGAGCAACAGGAGGGACUUAGGGACAAAAAGCUCAAAGGCAAGGAAGACUGAGGAAGCUAAGUUACUGGCCAUAUGUUUAAUAAAUAUAAGCUUAAUGGCAGUGAAUGUAUUAAUGUCAGCGAAGACAAGUCUAUGAAGUUAAACAGGCACAGAGAGGCUAAGAGUCUUGCCAAAGGCCACAGAGGAAGGAAGAGACUAAAUCUGGAACAAACUUUCUAUUCUCCAUUUCCAGAAGAAACCACUAAACCAUGCUUCCUCUUGUCAUGGAAGCUUAAAAUAUUUGAUCAAACUACGUUUAAAUAAGAAUUAAAAUGCCAUUUGUCCAUCACCUAAUGGCUCAAUUUGCUCCUGCCUUGGGUGUGCACACCCUGCUCUGGAACAGACCAGAGCUCUAAAGAAGUGACUGGAAGUUGUGAAUGUCAUUGUUAUGAAGCUUCAAAUUUGCUCUCCUCUUUAGGACACAGACAUGGCAUUAGAGAAGGGCAGAAAACUGCACUUGGCUGUGCAUAGAGAACACUAGAGACCUCUUGUGCAAGAGAGGGGACUAGGUUGCGUAGUGUAAUGAGAGAAGCAUGGGUUUUGAGACCGCUACAAUGUCUGUGUCUUCUUGGCCAACAUUUCAGUAAGAGUAGUAAGCAUAUCUCCACAAUAGGGUUAAGAGAACCAGUGUCUUCUGAAAAACACAUGAAAUCAUCGUAACCCUGCUAAGUCUGUGCUUUGCAAAAAUUAAA
rnacentral:lncRNA from 1 species